UGACCUUAAUGUGGUGCCUUAGUAUGGAUGGUGGUAUGGGACGCCAUCCAUACAUUGCACGAGGUAUAGCAUAAGGGUUUCUUGAGGUGAAGGUCCAAGGUAAAGGUUUUCAUGUUGAAAUUGUUUAAAGGUGAUAUUAUGACUUACUUGGUGUUUAUGCUUGUCUUGUAUGCAACUAUUCACGGUACUUCAAAAGUGGCAUAAUGCAUGGUUUCUAACCAAAAUGUCCCUUUUAAAGCAUGUUUUGCAUGGUCAUCAUACUUAGUACAUUUUGUGUACUAACCCAUAUUCUUUAUAUUUUACUAUAAGUGUAGGUUCCGACAAGUGAUCCCUCCUAGCUAGUUUGAAGUGUUGGAUUGCUUUCCUCCAAGACUUGGUAUGUCCUCAUGGAUUCGAGGAUAGGGCUUUUAAGUUCUUUUGUUCAUGUAAUAGACACUCUUAGUUUUGUUUUGAUUGUAAAGGGUUGUGUCCCUACUUAUGUUUUGUGUUUGUGUCUAAGAUGGCCAUGUGAGACUUAGACUUCC
rnacentral:lncRNA from 1 species